ACCUGGGAGUGGCAUUUGGGACUGCAAGGCUGGAGUGCGGCAGAGGAGACUGGAAUUCCCGGUGUAGCAGUGAAAUGCGUAGAUAUCGGGAGGAAUACCGAUGGCGAAGGCAGGUCUCUGGGCUGACACUGACGCUCAUGCACGAAAGCGUGGGGAGCAAACAGGAUUAGAUACCCUGGUAGUCCACGCCCUAAACGAUGUCGACUGGUUGUUGGGGGUUUGACACUCUCAGUAACGAAGCUAACGCGUGAAGUCGACCGCCUGGGGAGUACGGCCGCAAGGUUAAAACUCAAAGGAAUUGACGGGGACCCGCACAAGCGGUGGAUUAUGUGGAUUAAUUCGAUGCAACGCGAAAAACCUUACCUACCCUUGACAUGUCCUGGAGGUCCCUGAGAGGGGACUGUGCCCG
rnacentral:rRNA from 1 species